rnacentral:rRNA from 1 species
UGCCAGCCGCCGCGGUAAUACGGAGGGUGCAAGCGUUGUUCGGAAUUAUUGGGCGUAAAGCGCGUGUAGGCGGUUCGUUAAGUCUGAUGUGAAAGCCCGGGGCUCAACCUGGGAUGGUCAUUUAGAACUGGCAGACUAGAGUUUUGGAGAGGGGAGUGGAAUUCCAGGUGUAGCGGUGAAAUGCGUAGAUAUCUGGAGGAACAUCAGUGGCGAAGGCGGCUCCCUGGCCAAAGACUGACGCUCAUGUGCGAAAGCGUGGGGAGCAAACAGGAUUAGAUA